GUCCCCGUGGAUUAAUGGUAAAUCACUCCCAAGCCGUGGCGAGCUGCAACGAAUAUUUGCGAGCGAUGUGGGUUCGAAUCCCAGCGGGGAUU